rnacentral:rRNA from 1 species
AGCGAACGCUGGCGGCAGGCCUAACACAUGCAAGUCGAACGAAGUCUUCGGACUUAGUGGCGGACGGGUGAGUAACACGUGGGAACGUACCUUUUGGUUCGGAACAACUCAGGGAAACUUGAGCUAAUACCGGAUGAGCCCUCAGGGGGAAAGAUUUAUCGCCGAAAGAGCGGCCCGCGUUAGAUUAGCUAGUUGGUGAGGUAAAGGCUCACCAAGGCUACGAUCUAUAGCUGGUCUGAGAGGAUGAUCAGCCACAUUGGGACUGAGACACGGCCCAAACUACUACGGGAGGCAGCAGUGGGGAAUCUUGCGCAAUGGGCGAAAGCCUGACGCAGCCAUGCCGCGGGAAUGAUGAAGGUCUUAGGAUUGUAAAAUUCUUUCACCGGGGACGAUAAUGACGGUACCCGGAGAAGAAGCCCCGGCUAACUUCGUGCCAGCCGCCGCCGUAACAC